rnacentral:rRNA from 1 species
GACGAACGCUGGCGGCGUGCCUAAUACAUGCAAGUUGAGCGAUGAAGCUUGGUGCUUGCCCCAAUUUGAAGAGCAGCGAACGGGUGAGUAACGCGUGGGGAAUCUGCCUUUGAGCGGGGGACAACAUUUGGAAACGAAUGCUAAUACCGCAUAACAACUUUAAACAUAAGUUUUAAGUUUGAAAGAUGCAAUUGCAUCACUCAAAGAUGAUCCCGCGUUGUAUUAGCUAGUUGGUGAAGUAAAGGCUCACCAAGGCGAUGAUACAUAGCCGACCUGAGAGGGUGAUCGGCCACAUUGGGACUGAGACACGGCCCAAACCCCUACGGGAGGCAGCAGUAGGGAAUCUUCGGCAAUGGACGAAAGUCUGACCGAGCAACGCCGCGUGAGUGAAGAAGGUUUUCGGAUCGUAAAACUCUGUUGGUAGAGAAGAACGUUGGUGAGAGUGGAAAGCUCAUCAAGUGACGGUAACUACACAGAAAGGGACGGCUAACUACGUG